UCCUCAGCAGAAGGCCUGAGAGCUAUGGU
rnacentral:piRNA from 1 species